CCCCAAUAGCUCUUUUUGAAUGGACAUCUGAGAUAGCAUCAAGCCGAGCACAAAACAGAUCUGGGCUGCUAAUAAGGAGGACUGUUAAGCCUUCUAGCAUAGGUGAUGCCUUCCCAAGGUCUGGUCUCUUCGGUACAGGUACGGACUUUGAGAAGACGGCCUUUUUCUUUUACUGUGUGGAAUAAGAGCGGGUGCCUUUCAUUUAUCAAGACUAGAUAAACCAAAGCAGUCUACGAUUGCCGGGUUUUUUAGGAAUGGAAUUUAUAGGAAGAUUAGCGGAACCGCCAGGAAUCAGUACUGCGUCGACUGCUAUGUGCUAAAGACUGCGGAAUAAGAGCUCUUAGUCCUUUCGGCACGGCAUAAAAUAA
rnacentral:lncRNA from 1 species